UAGGGAAUAUUGGACAAUGGGCGAAAGCCUGAUCCAGCCAUGCCGCGUGAGUGAUGAAGGCCUUAGGGUUGUAAAGCUCUUUCAGCGGGGAAGAUAAUGACGGUACCCGCAGAAGAAGCCCCGGCUAACUUCGUGCCAGCAGCCGCGGUAAUACGAAGGGGGCUAGCGUUGCUCGGAAUCACUGGGCGUAAAGCGCACGUAGGCGGCUUUCUAAGUCAGGGGUGAAAUCCUGGAGCUCAACUCCAGAACUGCCUUUGAUACUGGAAAGCUUGAGUUCGGGAGAGGUUAGUGGAACUGCAAGUGUAGAUGUGAAAUUCGUAGAUAUUCGCAAGAACACCAGUGGCGAAGGCGGCUCACUGGCCCGAUACUGACGCUGAGGUGCGAAAGCGUGGGGAGCAAACA
rnacentral:rRNA from 1 species